AGAGCAUGAUUGGGUUUAAAGCGUGCGCAGGCGGUUUGGCAAGUCAGAUGUGAAAUCCCCGAGCUCAACUUGGGAACUGCGUUUGAAACUGCCAGACUAGAAUAUGUCAGAGGGGGGUAGAAUUCCACGUGUAGCAGUGAAAUGCGUAGAGAUGUGGAGGAAUACCAAUGGCGAAGGCAGCCCCCUGGGAUAAUAUUGACGCUCAUGCACGAAAGCGUGGGGAGCAAACAGGAUUAGAUACCCUGGUAGUCCACGCCCUAAACGAUGUCUACUAGUUGUUGGUGGAGUAAAAUCCAUGAGUAACGCAGCUAACGCGUGAAGUAGACCGCCUGGGGAGUACGGUCGCAAGAUUAAAACUCAAAAAAUUGACGG
rnacentral:rRNA from 1 species